UGUCUAUGGUGUGCACAGAGAAGGUUUCUCUGUAUUUUCCAUUAAUAAGAUAAUUUCCCCGGUUGCGGUCAUUCAAUGAGAGAUGUCAGUAAGUUGACUAUUGUUUGUUUUGACAACAUUGGCCCUGUAGGACAAGCUGGCGGACCCCUCCCACCCUCUCAAGCAAGCAGUGAAAGCCCUGCAGGACAAGCUGGCGUACUCCUCCCAUUGUCUCCAUCGGCCCAGUUCAGCACCACCUUCCAGACAGCAAGCAGUGAAAGUCUUACAGGACAAGCUGUCGGACCAUUCUCACACUCUCCAUCAAGCGACAGGCCAAUCUUCCCCCCAGAAGUGUUACAACAAAUUAUUGGAGAAACACUGUGUCUUGAUAUGUCUAUGCUAGGUGUUUUUAACAGAGUAUCAAAAUCUUGCUGUACUGUCUGUCCACUAGCCACCUUUUACCACUGUCUUACUGCUUCACUGUUUGCAUGCUAUAUUAGCACAUAUGCAUAACCCCUCCCUCAAUCCCACAGCCGGAUUGUGGCCACACUUAUACCUUUACUUAAUACGUAAUGCUUUAUAAUCAAUACUCGUAUAAAGGCUGUAACCCUAUUACGUCAACCCAUUCUUGCACUGAUAUAGUUUUUCUAUAGUCUUUUUUAUAUUACCUUGUCUACUCUCUUA